GACGAACGCUGGCGGCGUGCUUAACACAUGCAAGUCGAACGGAAAGGCCCUGCUCUUGUGGGGUGCUCGAGUGGCGAACGGGUGAGUAACACGUGAGUAACCUGCACUUGACUUUGGGAUAACUUCAGGAAACUGGGGCUAAUACCGGAUAGGAGCUCCUGCUGCAUGGGGGGGGUUGGAAAGUUUCGGCGGUUGGGGAUGGAAUCGCGGCUUAUCAGCUUGUUGGUGGGGUAGUGGCUGACCAAGGCUGUGACGGGUAGCCGGCCUGAGAGGGUGACCGGCCACAUUGGGACUGAGAUACGGCCCAGACUCCUACGGUAGGCAGCAGUGGGGAAUAUUGCACAAUGGGCGGAAGCCUGAUGCAGCAACGCCGCGUGCGGGAUGACGGCCUACGAGUUGUAAACCGCUGUCGCAGGUGACGAAGCGUGAGUGACGGUAAUGGGUAAAGAAGCACCGGCUAACUACGUG
rnacentral:rRNA from 1 species